ACAGAUGGACGGAUGUACUAUUAGACCCUCCAGAAAGCACACAUUCUGUGACAUGUGUAAGUGAUUUGUUGCAUUUACAUUUUAUGUUCUUUCAUUGCCAGAUAAAGUAUACUUGCAUAUUUCCAUUGUAGGAUGAAGAUGAAGAGACCACUUCUGCUGUGACAGAAUAAGACACUGGACAGGUCUGAGAUAUACUAUAUGUAGUAACACUUGACCCCUUUUAACAUUAGGGAGUAACAAACCUCAUCACAUAAUCUAAGCAGUGUCAAAAUCUGUCUGCAGUUAUAUUUGCGUCGCAUAAUAUUUAAUAUAUAAUUUUAUAACAUGAAAACUUUCCCUUUUCAUUGCAUUCCUAGUUGCUAUGCAAAGGAGCUGUAUAAGGUCCAUCUUCAAAAACAAAUCAAAAAGAGUGACCUUGAGAUGGACCUUAUACAGAUUCAAAUAGAGGAGAGUAGACUGGCCAUUAAAAAGGCUACACUUCAAAUUGAAAUACUGGAGCAUCGCCUUAAGGCUAGGACUAUCUGAACAUUAAUGCCACAAUUUACACAUAGUUAUAAAGUAAUACAGAAAAUGUGUUUGUAGUAUGUCCGUAUUGUUUAGGUAUUAAAAUAUGUGUCAAUAUCUUAGAAAGGACCACCCUGCCACUCUGUGGAAUUCUUCUUUAAAGGACACAUAUCAUACUUUUCAUUCUAAAAAAUAUUAGACUUUAAUGUCUCAGUAAGGUCUCUGUAAAUUUUCAUCCCAUAAAACCCUGUAGAUCGUCCACACUGCCCCUGUCAAUGUGUGGUUUUCACUCUCCAUCAGCAAACGCUGUGUUUUUUGGGCGUGUCGCAAGCGAAGCUGCUCACCACACCUCUGUGCGGAAGCGCAUACCUUUUUUAUUGUUGUUUUUUUUUUUUAAAUUGGCUCCAUGGAUACGAGCCACCGCACGGUUACGAUACAAUAGGUGGCAGUAGUGCGACAUUGAGAACGCAAUCCUCCACAGAAGAAGACCCACUACAGGACUGCAUGAGAAUAGCCAGCUGGUUCGUAGCGUAGUAGAACCAUACGUCUACGAUCCCGAAUCUGACCCUGAAGCUGAAGAGGAGGCUGUUGAAGUCGCCACAUUUCGGCUGAUGCAAGAUGUGUCUCAUUGUUGUUACAGGUAUCUAGUCUACAGAGGCUAGUGAGCUGGUGCUGAGGAUUCCUAGGGUGAGAAUCUGAGUUGCCAUCUCUUCAUGCUUGGGUUGUAGAUGAAGGCAGAGUUUCCUGAUGGAUAAAACACUAAAACACUCAUUGUAUGAUGGAUGUAAACCACCUGUGGAAUAACUCCUUUACCAUUUGAGUAAAAAUGUGUUUUUUGUGAGUGCAAUACUCAUUAAGAAUUUUUUUUAAAUUUAUAUAUAAUUUAUAUGCUUUUUAUUUAUGGCCGCUUCAACUUUAUAGCUUACCAUAUUAGAAAGAGAAAAAACAUGUAAUUUCAAUACUAUGAUUUCAUACUUACAUACCUUCACUCCUGAGCUGGGCAGCAGAUGUCCGUGUACCAAGAGUCUGCAGUGAUUUCUCUGUUUGACAGCCUCCUUGCAUGUAGGUAACUGGGAUGUGCCUCCCUACAGUAUAGAAAAGACUGUUACAUUUACUGUAAAUUGUAUUGGUCCUACAAAUAUAAUGGCUAUGGUACAAGCUAUAGGUAACUGACCAGAUAAGCAGCAGUUAUUGUAGAGAUGUGACUCAUUAACUAAGCUUGCAACACAACACAGUAAUCAUUCCAACUAAUCAUGUUAGAAUUUGAUAGAACAAUGACAUAACCCCAAAUCACAAGUUGAUUUAGGCUGUGACACAGGACGGGGUAAUAACAAACAUAACCCCGUUCAUCUGCAGGUUCUUUUUGUAGCGAUCGACCAACUGUAGCUCUAAAGUACAAAGGCCUAAAGGCAUGCUAACGGCUAACGCAACACAAACAGGAGCGGCAGCACGUCAACAGGACAAAAGCUCGAUCCACCGCUUCCUGCCUGUCGCCGAUCGAAGGCCCAUCGCUAUUAGCUGUUCCCCACACAGGUGUGUGACUGCACCAACUCAGAGUAGCACAUUUGAAAGGGACAAAGGCUCGGUUGACUCACUGUAGCCGUUAGCGACGCUAGCGAUUAGCUUGUCUCACAUGUGGGUUACUGCAUUUUAAACAGACCUAACUAACAUAUUUAGAUAUCACAAGUAUCAAGAACAAACUUACUACAGCGAGCUAGAUCCACCGCUUCCUGCCUGUCACCGCUGGAAGGGCGAUAACGAUCAGCUGUUCCCCGCAGGUGUAUGCGAUUACAGAAAAAGGACAGACGCUAGACCCACCGCUCCCUGCCUGUAGCCGCUCGAUGCCGUUAGUCAUUAGCUUUUCUCCACACAGGUGUGUGGCUGCAGGAGCCCACAUGAGCACAUUUGAAGGGGAGAAAGGCUCGGUCGACUGGCUGUAGCCGUUAGCAUAGCUAGCUAGUAACUUGCCCCACACAUAGGUUACUACAUUUUAAACGGACAAACUAACAUUUUAAAACAUUAUAAAUAUCAAGCAUGUACUUACUUCAGUGAGUGGAUGACGGACUUUAGGAAUAGGUCCUUUUUUCCAACAGGAGCCGUGAAACAAAUCCAGCAUUGUACGCACCCUCGUUUGAAAUGCACAUACGUAUAAAUGCUGAGGCAGUGUUUCUGGCACCGGUCCGUUAAAAAUAAAAGUGACCCACAAAUCCUCACUUGUUGAUCCCUUGUUAAAGUGAAUAGACUUUGGUGUUGUUAGAACACCUAAGAACCGAACUAUUUCUAUGGGAGGACUUGGGCGCUGCCGUGCUUGUCUGUUCACGGUGAGUGAGAGGGGGGAAA